AUUGAACGCUGGCGGCAUGCCUUACACAUGCAAGUCGAACGGUAACAGGUCUUCGGAUGCUGACGAGUGGCGAACGGGUGAGUAAUACAUCGGAACGUGCCCGAUCGUGGGGGAUAACGCAGCGAAAGCUGUGCUAAUACCGCAUACGAUCUACGGAUGAAAGCGGGGGAUCGCAAGACCUCGCGCGGACGGAGCGGCCGAUGGCAGAUUAGGUAGUUGGUGGGAUAAAAGCUUACCAAGCCGACGAUCUGUAGCUGGUCUGAGAGGACGACCAGCCACACUGGGACUGAGACACGGCCCAGACUCCUACGGGAGGCAGCAGUGGGGAAUUUUGGACAAUGGGCGCAAGCCUGAUCCAGCCAUGCCGCGUGCAGGAUGAAGGC
rnacentral:rRNA from 1 species